CUCCCAACAUUCUAGCAGCCCUCAACAUCCCUUUUUAGUGUAAAUUUUUACACUUUUCUUCCUUGUUUCUUAACCAUUAUUCUUCGUCUCUCCUUUACUUCUCUUUAACCCACGCUUCUCCCUUCCUCAAUAUCUCCCAAACUAAUUACCUACAUCAUAAAAACCUUCAUCACAUAUUCUUUUCAACUUAUUUGCUUAAGAUUUCAAGUGUUUAAGAAAAGAAGAAUUUAAUGGAAUGGUAGCAUUUUAGAGGUGCCGACUUCCACUGCACAUGUUUUGGUAUUUCGACCAUAACUCUCUCUAUAGAACUUCAAGUGAGAUGAUUCUUGUACCAUUGGAAAGCUAAGAGAAAAAGCUACUACAACUUUCAUGUUUACCAUUUUUCCCAGUUCGACUGGGAAGAUGGUUAACAAUCUUGUAGAAGUUGAAGCAUUGCAACAGUCCUAGAGCAAUUACGACUUUUGCUAACUAAAUGGCUGAGGCCACAACCUUGGUGGAGUUAGGCUGCGACUCAUGUAAUCUAAUAAAGAAAUCCUAGUUGGAAUUGAUUUCUUUGUUCACCUAACUUGGCCUAACUUUAAAGCCUUAAAAAAAUAAUCUUUCGAAGGACAUUAAGAGAGAAUAGUGAAAGACCAUAUUAAGAGCUAAGAAUCAAGCCACAACAUCAUUGAAAAAGUCUCCUUAAAGCUAAGAACAAUUUGAAGGAUUCAAGAAGAUUGGGAGAUCAAGAUUACAACUCUUAGGUUUUGUUUUUUAUCUUUCUGGGCUAAAUGUAUUGAUACAUCAUGAACAUGUAUCGAUACAUUUGAGACAAAAUGUAGUUUUUUGAGACAAAUUGCCUAUAAAACCUACCCAGCUUAUUUAC